GCAGAGACAGAGAAGAAGGAAGGUCGGUUGUCCCCAGGUACCUCGCCCUCCUUCCCAGGAUGGAGCCUGCAGAACCUAAGUUCCUCCUCUGACUCCAUCUGGCCAUUAUCCUCCUCUGUCCAGUUGGGCUCUAGGUGGCAGAUUCCUCCGGUCCUCCUCAUGAAGCCACACCCUCCUGGUCACAGCCUGGGCUUCCUGAGGUUAGCAUGGUGACCUUCUCUAAGAGGCCAGAGCCUUCACCUUCCUUUGCCAAGGCUGCUGCGACACAUCUGGAGGUGGUGACCCACGCGGGUGGUGGGCCCUUCCCACUCUGCCUCAGCUGGCACAGGGUGAGAAGACAAACAGGAGGCUCGGUGUCUUCCCUUCCAUUUGGAAGGGCACUCUACACGGCCUCGCAGGACCGUCCACAAGGCAGGCAGCUUCUCUGGAGCCAAGGAGUUCAGAGUUCAUGAAUAAAUGAAGAGGGAGGAAGUGGGAAGGGA